UGAUUAUGAUCUCAAAUAAUCCCAAAUUAAUUCCCUCCUCUGAUUUUCUCCAACUUGACAGCUUACCUUCCAUCUCAAUUCUUAUUUUGAUCUCAAGUUUCCUUAGCUGUAAUUAUUUUCUUCAAAUAUGAGAGACAGGCCACCGCUAGGCGUUCCAUUCUCCGGCUGACGCCAUCAUGCCGUCUUGCCGUCAUGUCGACGUUUGCUUCUCUCACCAGAUCCAAUCUAGUUCUAACAGCUAUCGCUUCCUUUCCGUCUGAUUUUGAUUUUCGGGUUUUGAUUUUACAGAUUUGAACACGAAUAUAGUAAUCUCCUCCACAAAUCUAAAGCAUAUCCAAAUCUUCUGUCUCCCUCUUCCGGCGAUCAAUCAACGGUGUUGUUCACUUCUCUUCCCUCUAUAAACAUGCUAGCCUGCCGACCCAAUACCAGAUAUGACGAACGAAGUAGAGAAAGAAAGACAGUGGCAGAUAGAGCAGCAUCAACAACAACAAAUCUCACACGAUGAACUACUCAAGCUCAACCCUCAGCUAAAUCGGUAUGUAAUUCGGUUAGAUUAGGUAACCGAUUUCAAAUUGAAUUCGAAAUGACAAACCGAAUUGAAUAUUAAAUGGAAAUCGGCAAUGAUUUUGAGUGAAUUUGAAAUCGGCCAAAUUCGGUUUCGAAAUCGAGCAACCGCUUUCGAACGAAUUAUCAUGCCUAGGGAGAGGUAUUGUGAUUUACCAGCGGGUGUACAAUAAUCUUUGGGAGCUACGACUUGACGGCUAGAGUCGGCAUCCAUUUCACCUGUUUUUGUCUUUGCUAGUGAAUAAUAUAAAUAUCAAUAAGAAUCCUCUCCUAACAACUCGAGUUAUUGG
rnacentral:lncRNA from 1 species